GAUGAAGAACGUAGCGAAAUGCGAUAAGUAAUGUGAAUUGCAGAAUUCAGUGAAUCAUCGAAUCUUUGAACGCGCAUUGCGGCCGCCAGUAUUCUGGCGGGCAUGCCUGUUCGAGCGUCAUUUCAACCAUCAAGCCCCCGGCUUGUGUUGGGGACCUGCGGCUGCCGCAGGCCCUGAAAAGCAGUGGCGGGCUCGCUGUCACACCGAGCGUAGUAGCAUACAUCUCGCUCUGGGCGUGCUGCGGGUUCCGGCCGUUAAACCACCUUCAUAACCCAAGGUUGACCUCGGAUCAGGUAGGAAGACCCGCUGAACUUAAGCAUAUCAAUAAGCGGAGGA
rnacentral:misc_RNA from 1 species